rnacentral:lncRNA from 1 species
UUAAUAGUGAUUCUACUGUGGAAGGAGGUGAUCUGUUUGAGGACUUAGAGUGUUUGAUUUUGAUUGACAGAGCAGAAGAUAGGGGACUUUCAGGAGUGAGGAUGCCAAAGUUAAGACAGAAGUCCUGUAGCCAAGCCAGGAAGGCUAAAACUGCUCUAAUGAGAGAGAAAAGAGAAGCAGAUAGAAGGAUUGACAUCAGUGAUAGGUCUGUGAUUAAGUUAAAUGGUUGUGAGAAGAUUGGUGUCAAUCCUGAUGCAGCUACGCCAGAUGAGGGUCGGCAUGACCCUACAGGUCCACUGUGGCCUGUGCCUAAUGUCGCUUCUGCGUCUG